rnacentral:rRNA from 1 species
GACGAACGCUGGCGGCGUGCUUAACACAUGCAAGUCGAGCGGUAAGGCCCUUUCGGGGGUACACGAGCGGCGAACGGGUGAGUAACACGUGGGUGACCUGCCCUUAGCUCUGGGAUAAGCCUGGGAAACUGGGUCUAAUACCGGAUAUGACUCCAUGACGCAUGUUGUGGGGUGGAAAGCCUUGUGCGGCUAGGGAUGGGCCCGCGGCCUAUCAGCUUGUUGGUGGGGUGAUGGCCACCAAGGCGACGACGGGUAGCCGGCCUGAGAGGGCGACCGGCCACACUGGGACUGAGACACGGCCCAGACUCCUACGGGAGGCAGCAGUGGGGAAUCUUGCGCAAUGGCGAAAGCCUGACGCAGCGACGCCGCGUGAGGGAUGACGGCCUCGGGUUGUAAACCUCUUUC